rnacentral:rRNA from 1 species
AGUGAACGCUGGCGGUAGGCCUAACACAUGCAAGUCGAACGGCAGCACAUGUAUAGCUUGCGCUUACGGGUGGCGAGUGGUGGACGGGUGAGGAGUGCAUCGGAAUCUAUGUGUGCGGGGGUGAGUACGUAGGGAAACUUACGCUAAUACCGCAUAUGUCGUGCGGGUGAAAGCAGGGGAUCGUCGGUGCGUUUGUUCGUGAAUGAGUGUAGGUGGGAUUAGCUAGUUGGCGGGGUAAUGGUCCACCAAGGCGACGAUCCGUAGCUGGUCUGAGUGGAUGAUCGGCGACACGGGAACGGGGACACGGUCCAGACUCCUACGGGAGCACGCAGUGGGCACAGUUGGACAAUGGGCGCAAGCAUGAUCCAGCCAUACCGCGUGGGAGAAGAAGGAGCUCGGGUCGUAAAGCCCUUUUGUUGGGAAAGACAAAAAACAGCUUAAGACCACGCGGUUCUGACGGUACCCAAAGAAUAAGCACCGGCUAACUUCGUG